CAGCAUAUGUUGGCAGGAUUCCAGAUCGUAUCCACAGAACUCCUCUCAUUAAUAUUCCACACUUUUACAGAACAAUCAUCACUUCCAGUGGCAAACUUUGUUGGAUUCACUUGAGAAAAAUCAACAGACCAAGCCCUCUUCUGGUGCUCUGUAUGUUGUGAAAAUUCUUGACCUGUGCUUGCAUCCCACAUCUAGAUUCAAAAAUUAUACACCAAGACCUAG
rnacentral:misc_RNA from 1 species